rnacentral:piRNA from 1 species
UACAAUCCAUAUACUCA